rnacentral:misc_RNA from 1 species
UUUGCGCUGAAGUUGGAAGUUGAGGGGAGAAGGUUUUGAGGUUCCAGGAUGAGGCUGAGCAGUUGAAGAACAAAAAAACACAGCAGAAAUCCGUUGAUGAUGCCCUUGAAGAGGGAAAUAGUAGUACUAGAAUGUUCCCUAAGUGGCUGAGGCAAAUAACAAGUGAACAACAAGUAUUUCAUCCUCUCAAUUUGAUGACUCGCUACCAGCUGUGCUAGAAAGUAAAGAAUGAAGCAUGAUUGAUAAGCUUCAGAAUGAGAGUGAACUGGAUUCAAUUUCCUAUGCUUAACAUACAAAGCAGAAAGUAUAUGAUGAUGGGGAAUGGUCAUGAGGCCUUGCCUUCAAGGUUGACAAUUUUGAAGGAAAUAAUAGAUUAGCUUGUAUGAAAUGGGUGGCGUGGGUAAGAUAGUAAGUAUGAAUAGUAUAAACAUACAAUGUCUAUGUUCCUAAGACAAGUCCAAUCGUCGCUCGCAUUGAAGAUUCUUAUUUUCUACCCGGCUAAUUU